rnacentral:rRNA from 1 species
UACGUAGGGCGCGAGCGUUGUCCGGAAUUAUUGGGCGUAAAGCGCUUGUAGGCGGCUUGUUAAGUUCCGUGUGAAAUCCCCAGGCUUAACCUGGGAAGUGCGCGGAAAACUGGCGAGCUUGAGUGCCGGAGAGGGUCGCGGAAUUCCCGGUGUAGAGGUGAAAUUCGUAGAUAUCGGGAGGAACACCAGUGGCGAAGGCGGCGACCUGGACGGACACUGACGCUGAGACGCGAAAGCGUGGGGAGCAAACAGGG